CACUAAGCGGGGAGUUAGCGGUGCCCUGUACUCGCAAUCCGCUACAGCGAGGCCGAAUCCCCGUCCUGAGGCCAGUUGUUGUGAGGUCGGUCUCAAUACGGAACGUUGAUGCGCGGGUCCCGUGCAAUCGCACGCCGUGAACCGUGUCAGAUCCUGACGGAAGCAGCACUAAGCGGAAUGUACGAUGUGCCGCGGGGUUACCUGCGCGGAGUCAUCGGUUGAGGUUCCACUCGGAGCGAACGGUCGAAGGACGGG
rnacentral:SRP_RNA from 1 species